rnacentral:rRNA from 1 species
AUUGAACGCUGGCGGCAGGCCUAACACAUGCAAGUCGCACGAGUGGCGGACGGGUGAGUAAUGUCUCGGAAACUGCCUGAUGGAGGGGGCUAAAUACUGGAAAAUGUAGCUAAUACCGCAUGCCAUCAGAUGUACCCAGAUGGGAAUCGCUAGUUGGUGGGUUAACGGCUCACCAAGGCGACGAUCCCUAGCUGGUCUGAGAGUAUGACCAGCAACACUGGAGCUGAGACACGGUCCAGACUCCUACGGGAGGCAGCAGGGGGGAAUAUUGGACAAGGGGCGAAAGCCGGAUGCAGCCAUGCCGCGUGUAUGAAGAAGGCCUUCGCGUUGUAAAGUACGUGCAGCGGGGAGGCGUUACCCGCAGAAGAAGCACCGGCUAACUCCGUGCCAGCAGCCGCGGUAAUUC